UAGUAUUCAAUUGUCAGAGGUGAAANCCUUGGAUUUAUUGAAGACUAACUACUGCGAAAGCAUUUGCCAAGGAUGUUUUCAUUAAUCAAGAACGAAAGUUAGGGGAUCGAAGACGAUCAGAUACCGUCGUAGUCUUAACCAUAAACUAUGCCGACUAGGGAUCGGAUGAUGUUAAUUUUUUAAUGACUCA
rnacentral:rRNA from 1 species